AACAGUAUAACUUUGCAACGAGUGCUUUUUCUCAUUUUAUCGAAAAAGCGCAAAUUUAAUUAUAUUGUUCUAUAAUGCCCAGAGAGUGUAAAAUUUGGAACGAAUCGAUGUCAACGCUCACAAGAACAAAAACCGGAACAACAUCAGACUACUCAGUUGCGCCAUAACAGUAUAACUUUGCAACGAGUGCUUUUUCUCAUUUUAUCGAAGAAAAAGAGUAAAACAUAAUUAUAUUGUUCUAUUAUGCCCAGAGAGUGUAAAUUUGGAACGAAUCGAUGUCAACGCUCGCAAGAACAAAAACCGAAACAACUUUAGACUACUCAGUUGCGCAAUAACAGUAUAACAUUGCAACGAGUGAUUUUUCUCAUUUUAUCGAAGAAAGCGUAAAACCUAAUUAUAUUUUUCUAUUAUGACCAGAGAGUGUAAAUUUGGAACGAAUCGAUGUCAACGCUCACAAGAACAAAAAUCGGAACAACAUUAGACUACUCAGUUGCUCCAUAACAGUAUAACUUUGCAACGAGUACUUUUUCUCAUUUUAUCGAAGAAAACGCAAAAUCUAAUUAUAUUGUUCUAUUAUGCCCAGAGAGUGUAAAUUUGGAACGAAUCGAUGUCAACGCUCACAUGAACAAAAAUCGGGACAACAUUAGACUACUGAGUUGCGCCCUAACAGUAUAAAUUUGCAACGAGACCUUUUUCUCAUUUUAUCGAAGAAAGCAUCAAACCUAAUUAUAUUGUUCUAUUAUGCCCAGACAGUGUAAUUUUGGAACGAAUCGAUGUCAACGCUCACAAGAAUAAAAACCGGAACAACAUUAGACUACUCAGUCGCGCCCUAACAGUAUAACUUUGCAACGAGUACUUUUUCUCAUUUUAUCGAACAAAGCGUCAAACCUAAUUAUAUUGAUUUAUUAUGCCCAGAGAGUGUAAAUUUAGAACGAAUCGAUGUCAACGCUCACAAGAACAAAAACCGGAACAACAAUAGACUACUUAGUUGCGCCAUAACAGUAUAACUUUGCAACGAAUGCUUUUUCUCAUUUUAUCGAAAAAGCGCAAAUUUAAUUAUAUUGUUCUAUAAUGCCCAGAGAGUGUAAAAUUUGGAACGAAUCGAUGUCAACGCUCACAAGAACAAAAACCGGAACAACAUGAGACUACUCAGUUACGCCCUAACAGUAUAAAUUUGCAACGAGCACUUUUUCUCAUUUUAUCGAAGAAAGCAUUAAACCUAAUUAUAUUGUAAUAUUAUGCCCAGAGGGUGUAAAUUUGGAACGAAUCGAUGUCAACGCUCACAAGAACAAAAACCGGAACAACAUUAGACUACUCAGUUGCGCCAUAACAGUAUAAUUUUGCAACGAGUGCUUUUCUCAUUUCAUCGAAGAAAGCGCAAAUCUAAUUAUAUUGUUCUAUUAUGCCCAGAGAGUGUAAAUUUGGAACGAAAUCGAUGUCAACGCUCACAAGAACAAAAACAGGAACAACAUUAGACUACUCAGUUGCGCCCUUACAGUAUAACUUUGCAACGAGUACUUUUUCUCAUUUUAUCGAAGAAAGCGUAAAACCUAAUUGUAUUCUUCUAUUAUGCCCAGAGAGUGUAAAUUUGGAACGAAUCGAUGUCAACGUUCACAAGAACAAAAACCGGAACAACAUUAGACUACUCAGUUGCGCCCUAACAGUAUAACUUUGCGACGAGUACUUUUUCUCAUUCUAUCGAACAAAGAGUAAAACAUAAUUAUAUUGUUCUAUUAUGCCCAGAGAGUGUAAAUUUGGAACGAAUCGAUGUCAACGCUCGCAAGAACAAAAACCGAAACAACUUUAGACUACUCAGUUGCGCAAUAACAGUAUAACAUUGCAACGAGUGAUUUUUCUCAUUUUAUCGAAGAAAGCGUAAAACCUAAUUAUAUUUUUCUAUUAUGACCAGAGAGUGUAAAUUUGGAACGAAUCGAUGUCAACGCUCACAAGAACAAAAAUCGGAACAACAUUAGACUACUCAGUUGCGCCCUAACAGUAUAACUUUGCAACGAGUACUUAUUCUCAUUUUAUCGAACAAAGCGUCAAACCUAAUUAUAUUGAUUUAUUAUGCCCAGAGAGUGUAAAUUUGGAACGAAUCAAUGUCAGCGCUCACAGGAACAAAAACCGGAACAACAAUAGACUGCUUAGUUGCGCCAUAACAGUAUAACUUUGCAACGAGUGCUUUUUCUCAUUUUAUCGAAAAAGCGCAAAUUUAAUUAUAUUGUUCUAUUCUGCCCAGAGAGUGUAAAUUUGGAACGAAUCGAUGUCAACGCUCACAAGAAAAAAAACCAGAACAACAUUAGACUACUCAGUUGCGACAUAACAGUAUAACUUUGCAACGAGUACUUUUUCUCAUUUUAUCGAAGAAAACGCAAAAUCUAAUUAUAUUGUUCUAUUAUGCCCAGAGAGUGUAAAUUUGGAACGAAUCGAUGUCAACGCUCACAUGAACAAAAAUCGGGACAACAUUAGACUACUGAGUUGCGCCCUAACAGUAUAAAUUUGCAACGAGACCUUUUUCUCAUUUUAUCGAAGAAAGCAUCAAACCUAAUUAUAUUGUUCUAUUAUGCCCAGACAGUGUAAUUUUGGAACGAAUCGAUGUCAACGCUCACAAGAAUAAAAACCGGAACAACAUUAGACUACUCAGUCGCGCCCUAACAGUAUAACUUUGCAACGAGUACUUUUUCUCAUUUUAUCGAAGAAAGCGUCAAACCUAAUUAUAUUGUUCUAUAAUGCCCAGAGAGUGUAAAUUUGGAACGAAUCGAUAUCAACACUCACAAAAAUAAAAACCGGAACAACAUUUGAGUACUCAGUUGUGCCUCUAACAGGUAUAACUUUUUGCAACCAGUACUUUAUUCUCAUUUUUUUGAAGUAAGCGGCCAAAACUAAUUUAUAUUGUAUUCUAUUUAGCCCCAGAGAGCUUGUAAAUUUCUGGAACGAAUUGAUGUCAACGCUCCACAAGAACAAAAACUGGAACAAAAUUAGGCUACUUAGUUGCGCCCUAACAGUAUAACUUUGCAACGAGUGCUUUUUCACAUUUUAUCGAAGAAAGCGUCAAACCUAAUUAUAUUGCUCUAUAAUGCCCAGAGAGUGUAAAUUUGGAACGAAUCGAUAUCAACACUCACAAAAAUAAAAACCGGAACAACAUUUGAGCACUCAGUUGUGUGCCCUUAACAGGUAUAACUUUUGCAACCAGUACUUUUUCUUCAUUUUAUCGAAAGUAAUGCGUCAAAACUAAUUUAUAUUAUGUCUCUUUUACGCCCAGAAGAGAGUAAAUCUGGAACGGAAUCGAUGUCAACGCUCACAAGAACAAAAACUGGAACAAAAUUAGGCUACUUAGUUGCGCCCUAACAGUAUAACUUUGCAACGAGUGCUUUUUCACAUUUUAUCGAAGAAAGCGUCAAACCUAAUUAUAUUGCUCUAUAAUGCCCAGAGAGUGUAAAUUUGGAACGAAUCGAUAUCAACACUCACAAAAAUAAAAACCGGAACAACAUUUGAGUACUCAGUUGCGCCUUAACAGUAUAACUUUGCAACCAGUACUUUUUCUCAUUUUAUCGAAGUAAGCGUCAAACCUAAUUAUAUUAUUCUAUUAUGCCCAGAGAGUGUAAAUUUGGAACGAUUCGAUGUCAACGCUCACAAGAACAAAAACCGGAACAACAUUAGACUCUUCAGUUGCACCCUAACAGUAUAACUUUGCAACGCGUACUUUUUCUCGUUUUAUCGAAGAAAGCGUAAAAUCUAAUUAUAUUGUUGUAUUAUGCCCAGAUAGUGUAAAUUUGGAACGAAUCGAUGUCAACGCUCACAAGAACAAAAACCGGAACAACAUUAGAGCACUCAGUUCCGCCAUAACAGUAUAACUUUGCAACGAGUGCUUUUUUUCAUUUUAUCGAAGAAAGCGUAAAACCUAGUUAUAUUAUUCUAUUAUGCCCAGAGAGUGUAAAUUUGGAACGAAUCGAUUUCAACGCUCACAAGAACAAAAACCGGAACAACAUUAGACUACUCAGUUGCGCCCUAACAGUAUAACUUUGCAACGAGUACUUUUUCUCAUUUAUCGAAGAAAGCGUCAAACCUAAUUAUAUUGUUCUAUCUUGCCCAGAGAGUGUAAAUUUGGAACGAAUCGAUGUCAAAGCUCACAAGAACAAAAAUCGGAUCAAUAUUAGACUACUCAGUUGCGCCCUAACAGUAUAACUUUGCAACGAGUGCUUUUUCUCAUUUUAUCGAAGAAAGCGUAAAUCUAAUUAUAUUGUUCUAUUAUACCUAGAGAGUGUAAAAUUGGAACGAACUGAUGUGAGCGCUCACAAGAACAAAAACCGGAUCAAUAUUAGACUACUCAGUUCCGCCCUAACAGUAUAACUUUGCAACGAGUACUUUUUCUCAUUUAUCGAAGAAAGCGUCAAACCUAAUUAUAUUGUUCUAUUAUGCCCAGAGAGUGUAAAUUUGGAACGAAUCGAUUUUAAAGCUCACAAGAACAAAAACCGGAACAAUAUUAGACAACUCAGUUGCGCCCGAACAGUAUAACUUUGCAACGAGUGCUUUUUCUCAUUUUAUCGAAGAAAGCGUCAAACCUCAUUAUAUUGUUCUAUUAUGCCGAGAGAGUGUAAAUUUGGAACGAAUCGAUGUCAACGCUCACAAGAACAAAAACCGGAACAACAUUAGACUCUUCAGUUGCACCCUAACAGUAUAACUUUGCAACGCGUACUUUUUCUCGUUUUAUCGAAGAAAGCGUAAAAUCUAAUUAUAUUGUUGUAUUAUGCCCAGAUAGUGUAAAUUUGGAACGAAUCGAUGUCAACGCUCACAAGAACAAAAACCGGAACAACAUUAGAGCACUCAGUUCCGCCAUAACAGUAUAACUUUGCAACGAGUGCUUUUUUUCAUUUUAUCGAAGAAAGCGUAAAACCUAGUUAUAUUAUUCUAUUAUGCCCAGAGAGUGUAAAUUUGGAACGAAUCGAUUUCAACGCUCACAAGAACAAAAACCGGAACAACAUUAGACUACUCAGUUGCGCCCUAACAGUAUAACUUUGCAACGAGUACUUUUUCUCAUUUUAUCGAAGAAAGCGUAAAAUCUAAUUAUAUUGUUCUAUUAUUCCCAGAUAGUGUAAAUUUGGAACGAAUUGAUGUCAACGCUCACAAGAACAAAAACCGGAACAACUUUAGACUACUCAGUUGCGCCUAACAGUAUAACUUUGCAACGAGUACUUUUUCUCAUUUUAUCGAAGAAAGCGUCAAAACUAAUUAUAUUGUUCUAUUACGCCCAGAGAGUGUAAAUUUGGAACGAAUUGAUGUCAACGCUCACAAGAACAAAAACUGGAACAAAAUUAGGCUACUUAGUUGCGCCCUAACAGUAUAACUUUGCAACGAGUGCUUUUUCACAUUUUAUCGAAGAAAGCGUCAAACCUAAUUAUAUUGCUCUAUAAUGCCCAGAGAGUGUAAAUUUGGAACGAAUCGAUAUCAACACUCACAAAAAUAAAAACCGGAACAACAUUUGAGUACUCAGUUGCGCCUUAACAGUAUAACUUUGCAACCAGUACUUUUUCUCAUUUUAUCGAAGUAAGCGUCAAACCUAAUUAUAUUAUUCUAUUAUGCCCAGAGAGUGUAAAUCUGGAACGAAUCGAUGUCAACGCUCACAAGAACAAAAACCGGAACAACAUUAGACUACUCAGUUGCGCCAUAACAAUAUAACUUUGCAACGAGUACUUUUUCUUAUUUUAUCGAAGAAAGCGUAAAUCCUAAUUAUAUUAUUCUAUUAUGCCCAGAGAGAGUAAAUUUAGAACCAAUCGAUGUCAACGCUCACAAGAACAAAAAUCGGAACAACAAUAGACUACUCAGUUGCACCCUAACAGUAUAACUUUACAACGAGUGCUUUUUCUCAUUUUAUCGAAGAAGGCGUCAAACCUAAUUAUAUUGUUCUAUUAUUCCGAGAAAGUGUAAAUUUGGAACGAAUCGAUGUCAAAGCUCACAAGAACAAAAACCGGAACAAUAUUGGACUACUCAGUUGCGCCCUAACAGUAUAACUUUGCAACGAGUGCUUUUUCCCAUUUUAUCGAAGAAAGCGUAAAUGCUAAUUAUAUUGUUCUAUUAUGCCCAGAGAGUGUAAAUUUGGAACGAACCGAUGUCAGCGCUCACAAGAACAAAAACCGGAACAACAUUAGACUAAUCAGUUGCGCCCGAACAGUAUAAUUUUGCAACGAGUGAUUUUUCUCAUUUUAUCGAAGAAAGCGUCAAACCUAAUUAUAUUGUUCUAUUAUGCCCAGAGAGUGUAAAUUUGGAACGAAUCGAUGUCAACGCUCACAUGAACAAAAAUCGGGACAACAUUAGACUACUGAGUUGCGCCCUAACAGUAUAAAUUUGCAACGAGACCUUUUUCUCAUUUUAUCGAAGAAAGCAUCAAACCUAAUUAUAUUGUUCUAUUAUGCCCAGACAGUGUAAUUUUGGAACGAAUCGAUGUCAACGCUCACAAGAAUAAAAACCGGAACAACAUUAGACUACUCAGUCGCGCCCUAACAGUAUAACUUUGCAACGAGUACUUUUUCUCAUUUUAUCGAAGAAAGCGUCAAACCUAAUUAUAUUGUCUAUUAUGACCAGAGAGUGUAAAUUUGGAACGAAUCGAUGUCAACGCUCACAAGAACAAAAACCGGAAGAAAAUUAGACCACUUAGUUGCGCCCUAACAGUAUAACUUUGCAACGAGUACUUUUUCUCAUUUUAUCGAAUAAAGCGUAAAACCUAAUUAUAUUGUUCUAUUAUGCCCAGAGAGUGUAAAUUUGGAACGAAUCGAUGUCAACGCUCACAAGAACAAAAACCGGAAUAACUUUAGACUACUCAGUUGCGCCAUAACAAUAUAACUUUGCAA
rnacentral:lncRNA from 1 species